rnacentral:rRNA from 1 species
CCUACGGGUGGCUGCAGUGGGGAAUAUUGGACAAUGGGGGGAACCCUGAUCCAGCCAUGCCGCGUGUGUGAAGAAGGCCCUCGGGUUGUAAAACACUUUCAGUGAGGAAGAACGCCUGGUGGUUAAUACCCAUCAGGAAAGACAUCACUCACAGAAGAAGCACCGGCUAACUCCGUGCCAGCAGCCGCGGUAAUACGGAGGGUGCGAGCGUUAAUCGGAAUUACUGGGCGUAAAGCGCGCGUAGGUGGCUUGAUAAGCCGGUUGUGAAAGCCCCGGGCUCAACCUGGGAACGGCAUCCGGAACUGUCAAGCUAGAGUGCAGGAGAGGAAGGUAGAAUUCCCGGUGUAGCGGUGAAAUGCGUAGAGAUCGGGAGGAAUACCAGUGGCGAAGGCGGCCUUCUGGACUGACACUGACACUGAGGUGCGAAAGCGUGGGUAGCAAACAGGAUUAGAUACCCUUGUAGUC